CAAAAGCUAGAAAGGAAACUUCUUCCUAACAGAUGGUAUCAUCAACUCCCCACCAGGCCCCAGGACUGCCCUCACUCAUAUUUCUGACUUGCAAAAGGUUUCUUGUACCUAACCCCUGGGAUGUCUUCAUUCUAAAGGCAGUUUUCCGGCUGAUAUUCCAGAGUCUCUACCUGAAAUCACAGCCUUAGGUGCUUAUGCAGGUGCAGUCACUACAACGCAGCAAGGUCACUAAUCUAGAAGGCUCUGGUUUUCUCUAGACAAAAUUCCUAACCCAGUGGUACAUUAAAGAUCCCAGUCUGGCAGGUAAUACUUUAGAUCAGUUAUAAUAUCCUCCCAAAAGACUACAGAAGCAUCACACUUGUAACCAAACCCAAGACCAUCACCAUAUAAAGACCUCUCUAGCUAAAAGGUUAUCAUUUCCUUUUACUCAGCAGAGCACACACUCUAUUUAGUCUUCCCAAACACAUGAUUCCAGAAGUCACUGGUAAACAAAAGCAUCUUGUGGCCAAACUUUAGCACUACGUCAAUGGCAGAGUUCCUGACAGUCCAAGCAAGCUCCUAACCUGAGUCCCCCAUGUGCCAGAGAGGAAGCUUGGAGCCUUUCCUUCCAGAGCUCUUGAUUUCAACCAGCUAAUGUUGCUGAGCUAAGAAAGAUUUGCAAAGGGUGCAUCUCAUUCAGCUUUUGGGCCCAACUAAAAGAAAGCCCAGUCCAGGCUAUGAAUAGGAAACUCAGAACAGCACACGUCUGUAUAUUUUUUCAAAGGAUAGAGGAAAAAGUCAAUUCUUUAAAACAAAAUUUUGUUUCUAAUAUAUCUUUGUGCUCUGUAUCAUAUACUAGAUAACAAGAUAACUAAAAUUUCCCCUUAUCGGACAAUAGCUUAGUUUUUCCCUAACUAGAUGGUAAAUGAAGUGACAGAGCUACCAUCUUUGCACAAGGCCCCUGCCCUAUGGACAGUUUCCUUUAACAGCUUUCCACCUAUUGACUUUUCUGUUUACAUACAUAAUCCCCACAUACCAGGUUCCUUUGGGACUCGGCAAUGCUGAAUGCAGCAGAAAGGAAUUAUAAUAACUACCACCAAAACCUAAAAAUUUUCUCUCUUAAAACUUGGAAGAAUUGAGAGAUCAAAAUACCUCAUACCUAGCUUUUGAGCCCCAGGCUUCUCUUUUAAAACAGUACUAAAUGAAUAAAUUAAGACAGGUACCUUAUUUACUGGGCAUACAACAGACUAUUAACUAAAUAUGUCACCUUCAGUAACUUUCUUCACUACCUUCCACCGACAUGAGAAAGAACUUUUAGAUCAGUUCCAAAAGUUAUUCAUAUUCAUGGAAUCUUUAAAUUUUAGGGAGUGUGUGCGACUGUAUCUGUACAGACUGGAGGAUAUUUCUACAAAGGGGAAAAAAAUGGGGUCUGUAAGUAAAGUGCCUUCUAUCAGAGACUAGUGUUCCUAUGUUCAGACUUGUACAUUUUUAAAAAAAGGUGGAAAGUGCUGAAAACCUCUUCACUGGAUAGAUACAAAUCUAUACAAAACUCUAACUUAUGAAUUUUCACAAGUUGGGAUGAAUAUUUAAAUUUAG
ensembl:lncRNA